AAGGGAGACCUAAUUCAGGUAUGGGACGAAAAAAAAGUAGUCGCUACCAAGAAUCAAUCCCAAAAGGUCGGAGCGAGGUAUGAGGCUUUCAAACUAGGUUCUGGGUUCAAACAAGACCUGAAUCAGGAACAAGGCUAUUAGCUCAGGUGGUUAGAGCGCACCCCUGAUAAGGGUGAGGUCCCUGGUUCGAGUCCAGGAUGGCCCACCUGCACAGGUGGCAAAAACAAGAGAAGCGAGGAAUCAGCACCUUAUCUUAUCUAUAUAUAAGAGAGAAUGCUGGCUCUGAGUAAAGAGUCCAGAGGAACCUUGAAAACUGCAUAGAGCUAGGUGAAAAAGCCAAAAAAGAAGACCGCAA
rnacentral:tRNA from 1 species